rnacentral:rRNA from 1 species
CCUACGGGGUGCAGCAGUGGGGAAUUUUGGACAAUGGGCGCAAGCCUGAUCCAGCUAUUCCGCGUGUGGGAAGACGGCCUUCGGGUUGUAAACCACUUUUGUAGAGAACGAAAAGUCUAUUGAUAAUACCGAUAGAUGAUGAUGGUACUCUAAGAAUAAGCACCGGCUAACUACGUGCCAGCAGCCGCGGUAAUACGUAGGGUGCGAGCGUUAAUCGGAAUUACUGGGCGUAAAGGGUGUGCAGGCGGUUUUGCAAGAUGGAUGUGAAAGCCCCGGGCUUAACCUGGGAAAGCCAUACAUGACUGCAAGACUAGAGUGCGUCAGAGGGGGGUGGAAUUCCAAGUGUAGCAGUGAAAUGCGUAGAUAUUUGGAAGAACACCGAUGGCGAAGGCAGCCCCCUGGGACGCAACUGACGCUCAUACACGAAAGCGUGGGGAGCAAACAGGAUUAGAUACCCUAGUAGUC